UCUUGUACUCACCGCCCGUCAACUCAAGGGAGAUGGGAGUACCCGAAGUCUCGCGCAAGCGGGCCCACGGUAAGCUCAUCGACAGGGAGU
rnacentral:rRNA from 1 species